rnacentral:rRNA from 1 species
UACGUAGGGUGCAAGCGUUGUCCGGAAUUAUUGGGCGUAAAGAGCUCGUAGGCGGUCUGCCGCGUCGGCUGUGAAAUCCCGAGGCUCAACCUCGGGCCUGCAGUCGAUACGGGCAAACUGGAGUGUUGCAGGGGAGACUGGAAUUCCUGGUGUAGCGGUGAAAUGCGCAGAUAUCAGGAGGAACACCGGUGGCGAAGGCGGGUCUCUGGGCCGAUACUGACGCUGAGGAGCGAAAGCGUGGGGAGCGAACAGG